rnacentral:rRNA from 1 species
CGUACGAUACGAGUUUGAUCCCUGGCUCAGAACGAACGCUGGCGGCAGGCCUAACACAUGCAAGUCGAGCGAACCCUUCGGGGUUAGCGGCGGACGGGUUAGUAACGCGUGGGAAUAUACCCUUUGGUACGGAAUAGCCUCGGGAAACUGAGAGUAAUACCGUAUGUGCCCUUCGGGGGAAAGAUUUAUCGCCAAAGGAUUAGCCCGCGUUGGAUUAGGUAGUUGGUGGGGUAAUGGCCUACCAAGCCUACGAUCCAUAGCUGGUUUGAGAGGAUGAUCAGCAACACUGGGACUGAGACACGGCCCAGACUCCUACGGGAGGCAGCAGUGGGGAAUCUUAGACAAUGGGCGCAAGCCUGAUCUAGCCAUGCCGCGUGGACGAUGAAGGCCUUAGGGUUGUAAAGUCCUUUCAGAUGGGAAGAUAAUGACGGUACCAUCAGAAGAAGCCCCCGGCUAACUCCGUG